rnacentral:rRNA from 1 species
AUGCCUUACACAUGCAAGUCGAACGGUCAGCACGGACCUCGCGUCUGGUGGCGAGUGGCGAACGGGUGAGUAAUGUAUCGGAACGUACCUCAUAUGCAGUGGGGGAUAACGUAGACGAAAGUUACGACUAAUACCGCAUACUUACUGUAGAGGCAUGAAAGCAGGGGACUCGCCAAGGACCUUGUCGACUCGCAUUGAGCGGGCCCGGAUAUUCAGAAUUUAGCCUAGUUUUGGUUGAGGGUUAAAGGGCUCUACCAAGNGCAUACGAAUCUGUAGCUGGGUCUGAGAGGAUGACCACGCCACACUGGAACUGAGACACGGUUCAGACUCCUACGGGAUGCAGCAGUGGGGGAAUUUGGGACAAUGGGGGGGCAACCCCUGAAUUCCAGCCUCAUUGCCCCGCGUUGAAGUUGGAAAGGAAAGGGCCCUUUCCGGGGGUUGUGGUUUAAAAGGCCUCCUUUUUCCGGUGCACCGGGGGAAAAGAAAAACUCGGUCAUUAGGGGCUUAAAUAUCCCAUGAUGCUGGAAUGAACGGUUACCCGGGAAUAAUAAGCCCGGGCUAACUACGUGCCAGCACCCGCGGUAAUACGUAGGGUGCGACCGUUAAUCGGGAAUUACUGGGGCGUUAAAGGCGGUGCCGCCAAGGGCCGGUUUUUUAGGUAGAUAUGUGGAGGAACACCGAUGGCGAAGGCAGCCCCCUGGGNCNAUACUGACGCUCAUGCACGAAAGCGUGGGUAGCAAACAGGAUUAGAUACCCUGGUAGUCCACGCCCUAAACGAUGUCNACUAGNUGUNGGGNNNNNANNACCUUNUANNNCCNGAUCUNACGCGUGANNUNCNCCNNNUGGAGAGNACNGCCGCNANGUUAANNCUCANNNGNUUUNANGGNCACCCNCACANGUUUCGACCGGUGGAUGAUGUGGAUUAAUUCGAUGCAACUUGCGAAAAACCUUACCUACCCUUGACAUGUGCCAGGAAUCCCGAAGAGAUGUUGAGGAGUGCCCGAAAGAGGAACCUGGAACACAGGUGCUGCAUGGCUGUCGUCAGCUCGUGUCGUGAGAUGUUGGGUUAAGUCCCGCAACGAGCGCAACCCUUUGNUCAGUUCAAUUGCCACUCACUAGACGCUAUCGUGCUCAACCUGUAUACACCCGGACGCAAC